rnacentral:rRNA from 1 species
AUACGUAGGGGGCGAGCGUUGUCCGGAAUGAUUGGGCGUAAAGGGCGCGUAGGCGGCCCGGUAAGUCUGGAGUGAAAGUCCUGUUUUUAAGAUGGGAAUUGCUUUGGAUACUGCCGCGCUUGAGUGCAGGAGAGGUUAUCGGAAUUCCCGGUGUAGCGGUGAAAUGCGUAGAGAUCGGGAGGAGCACCAGUGGCGAAGGCGGGUAACUGUACUGCAACUGACGCUGAGGCGCGAAAGUGUGGGGAGCGAACAGGAGUAGAUGCCCUGGUAUUCCACACUGUAAGCGAUGAAGGCUAGGUGUAAGAGGUAUUGUCCCCUUUUGUGCCGGAGUGAACACAAUAAGCAUUCCGCCUGGGGAGUACGGCCGCAAGGUUGAAACUCAAAUGAAGUGACGGGG